CUGCCCCUUACCGGACAUUUGUGAAAAAGAGCUUUACAGCUCAUCGGAUUCAUCCAGUGUAAACACAUAGUCUGAUUCUGAGAGCACAGUAUUUAUCCGGCUUUUCUGGGGUUGCAAUUGCUAAUGUGAGAUGAUGGUGAAAUUAAGAGGGGACAACGUUAGGACAUCGUUAGGACAACGUUAGGAAAACCUGUCUCACCGGCAUUAUAUAUUUUUUUUACUUACCGUGAAUCACUGCUGCCCCAACUGACAGCCGCGGUGGCUGCAUUCGUUAACUCGGAAAUCGAUCACCGCGGCUCCGCGCAACUGACACGCGGGCCAUUGGACGGGACGGUCGGGGGCGAAACGAGCGAAACAAUCGCGACACUAACGAGAGCUCGAGGCAUUCAACGCCGCAAUCAAACCAUUGUUCGAGAGGCAGAGGCGUGCAAGGCCAGGCGCGAAUCGCACGCUCCGAAAGCUCGUGGCGCGUGUCCGCGCGCGAAGUAAAAAAAAACCCGCUGCGACUGUGCCGAGGGCCAUUGCUGCAAGAUGCACAUGAUGAUUCAUGCAGGCCCGAUAUAUCUUCCGCAGCCAAAUCCCCGGUAGCACGAUUAACAUAAUCCUGCGCGGAAUAGCGAUGCCGUGCCGUGUGCGUCCCAGCCACACAUCUUGCAUUGUUUAUGAGCCCGAGCAAUGGAAUGCAUAAUAGAAUAGCCGUCUCGUACGUCGUGGGAAUAAACGCACGCGUUUGAAACUGUGCCCGAGUGCCAUUGACGAUUCGUAGUCGUCGUCUCUUUGAGGUGUAAAUGUGCCGCUUCGGAAUGAGCUCUGAGAUUGUUUCCGCUCACGCCGCCGCGACGGCGGAAAGGGUCCUCCGCGUGAGAAUCCAGCCGGCUCCGUGGCGUCCUCUUGACGAGGAGGCCUAACGUUGUGAAGCGCUGGACGAAAGCUCCGACCGCCACGUGGCCAAGUGCGCUGGUUGAUGAAGAAGGCGACGUGGGUAAUGGUUCAAAUAUCCCCCGCCACAGACGUCAGAGUUGUGGCAUGGAAUCGAACUCAGGUUUCUGGGAUCAUGCCGCUGUUUUCGAGCCACCACUGCACCGCUGAUUCCCCCGAGUGUAUUUGAAUGCACCAUAACGAGACCUAAACAAAAUUAAUUAGAUAGAUAUUUUUUUUGAAUGAACAAGUAGAUUUAUGAAUAAAUAAAUCUGAAAAUAAUGGACGCAGGAAGCAGGUGCUUUUACAUGCAGCCGCAGGCCGACUCGAAGUUUUUUUUUUAUUACGUAACCACAUUGAUAAGCGGCACUGCGUAUGAAAAACAGCAUCGCAUUUCGUAUUCUACUCAAUGUUUUAUGCGGUUGUUUUCCACACUGUUAUUCGUUUGCUUAAAUGCUGACAGCACUUUCUUGAACUACAGCUGCAAGCAACAAUUGCGGCGAUGUGUAAACUCACAAGCGCAAACUUUUUGUUCGGAGAAUAGAUGAAAUCGGGGUUUGGCUUCAUGGGGCGAUGUAUCAGUGAGUGUAAAAUAAAUAAAUAGAUAAAUAAAUGGGAUAAAUGCCAUGGGGAGCUGCAUAAUGCAGAUGCUGUUUAUUCAGAGCGUUGGCAAUGGUGACUGAUCAGAGGCCAAUAGCUCACCGUACCUGAGAACCUCGUCUAAUCACAGGUGGCUGUACAGAUUUACACCCAGGGUCUUAGGCAAAUGCUCAGUUGGCCGUCCUAACCCCUGAUCCAACCCGCGGUCACCUCUUUCGAUUGCUUUUUUUUUUGCUUUACAUUUCUCUACGUCCUGACACCCCACCAGCCACAAAGACGUCGCUCGGUUGAAUUGGGUCUCACGAUUGUAAUGAGCGUGAUCAAUUGGCGUUUUAGAAUCGUGGACUUCGCACUGAGAUCACCGUCGACAACUUCAUGCCACGGUUGGUUAUUGUUACGAUGGAGGCCCACCCUCUCCUGAGAUCAGGGAAUCGCGGCCAACUGCUGGGCCACCGCUUCACGCAAAGCUAAGUGGCCCGAUAAGAGUUGGCGCGCACUUUCAUCCACGCGCGUUUCUCAAUAGUUUGAGGGCGCACUUUCGUGCCAAUGCAUUUUUAUUUGGAUUCUGCCGCGCACGUGAUGCCAUUCUCGUCCAUCCGUCGUUGGCAUUCAUCAAACAGUUGAACUUCUCGAGCCUUUCCUCUCUUUGUUUUGCUUCUUCUCUUGAAACGAAGGCGCAACAAAAACUGGAGGUGAUCUGGCAACAGCAACCACGCAUUGCGCGGCAACCUGCUGGUGGGAAUUGAGUGUACGGCACGACGCGACGAGAGGCACGAGAAUGCAAAUGUUGUACGCCGUCACGUUGUGUGAGAGACUGGCUGGCUCAGCUGCGGAGGAUUACACACGGCCGCACCGGACCGCGGAAAUCCGCCUCUGGGGCGUUGCGGAUUGACAUCAAAGCAGGAGUGCAUUUGGUCGACUCAACCUCAAAUGAGUUCCUGGUGCGGUGUGUAGUAAACAUCG